AAAUUAACCAUUUAUUUAGUUGUUGUUGAUUAAAUUCGACACUCUUUUAUUGACGUCCACACAAAAAACGACCAAAAACGCCACCUGCUGGAGGGAGACACGUUUUCCCCCCGACAUGGGUCUUCCUCUCCCUCUUCCUCUUCCGCUCUGAUCACACUUCGCGCCAAGGAGGAUUUUUUUUUUAUUUUUUAAAGGAGCUGCUGGUCUAAACUAGUCUCAUCACGAUCAAUAAGAAAAACUCAUUUAUUUUUGCUGUGGAUUAUGGACAUCAGGCGGUUCUUUGUAUCAAGCAAACCCGCAGCACAGAAACCAUCUCGGGAUGGAACCCUCAACACAGAGAAGGAACCCACGAAGAAGAAGAAAUCCAUCUCAACAGACGAAGAAGCGAAGAAGAAAAAACCUGCCACCAAGAUCACCAGCCCCAAGGUGGAGAAGAAGAAGAAGAAGGACAAUGAUAAAAAGAGAAAGAGGCGUGCUGUCAUUGAGUCAGACUCUGAGGAGGAGGUAGUGGAGCAGAAGCAGAAGGCCCAGAAACCAAACCCUCCUCUUCCUCCGGCUCCUCUUCCUCCUGCCAAGAAAGACCCGGUGCAGUACGUCUCUGAGACAGAUUCAGACAGCGAUAACUUCCUGUCUCUGAAGAAGUCCCAGGCUAAGCCCCAGGGUAAUGGAGUGACCAAACCAGGAAGGCCCGCACCGGGACCAAAGAGAGCCACGGGUCCCCCCC
ensembl:lncRNA